rnacentral:rRNA from 1 species
AUUGAACGCUGGCGGCAGGCCUAACACAUGCAAGUCGAGCGAGUGGCGGACGGGUGAGUAAUGUCUGGGACACUGCCUGAUGGAGGGGGAUAACUACUGGAAACGGUGGCUAAUACCGCAUACCAUCGGAUGUGCCCAUAUGGGAUUAGCUAGUAGGUGGGGUAACGGCUCACCUAGGCGACGAUCCCUAGCUGGUCUGAGAGGAUGAUCAGCCACACUGGGACUGAGACACGGUCCAGACUCCUACGGGAGGCAGCAGUGGGGAAUAUUGCACAAUGGGCGCAAGCCUGAUGCAGCCAUGCCGCGUGUAUGAAGAAGGCCUUAGGGUUGUAAAGUACUUUCAGCGGGGAGGCGUUACCCGCAGAAGAAGCACCGGCUAACUCCGUGCCAGCAGCCGCGGUAAUAC